rnacentral:lncRNA from 1 species
GCAGGCUGACUUGCAAGUUCCUGGCACGUUUGACAACCAUACAAAUAAGAAGCCAUACAAAUAAAUGAGAAGAAAAAUAAUACAGUGUGGUUAAAAGGUAAAAAUCAGGAGAAUGGGGAAUGAAAAUCACACUCACUUCACAUUUCAUCGCUAGACUGCAGGGGAAAGAGAAGAUGCCCCAGCAGCAGAAAGCUUAGCUGGGAACACAGGCUCU